AAUAGAUACCCAGGUAGUCCACGCCGUAAACGUUGGAUACUAGGUGUGGCGUCCCGAUCAACGGAUGCCGUGCCGAAGCUAACGCAUUAAGUAUCCCGCCUGGGGAGUACGGCCGCAAGGCUAAAACUCAAAGGAAUUGACGGGUCCCCGCACAAGCGGCGGAGCAUGCGGCUUAAUUCGAUGCAACCCGAAGAACCUUACCUGGGUUUGAAAUCAUGGGAAAAGCUGUAGAAAUACAGUGUCCGUAAGGGCCCAUGACAGGUGGUGCAUGGCUGUCGUCAGCUCGUGUCGUGAGAUGUUGGGUUAAGUCCCGCAACGAGCGCAACCCUUGUCCUAUGUUGCCAGCGGUUCGGCCGGGGACUCAUAGGAGACUGCCGGGGAUAACUCGGAGGAAGGUGGGGACGACGUCAAGUCAUCAUGCCCCUUAUAUCCAGGGCUGCACGCAUGCUACAAUGGUCGGUACAACGGGCAGCGACCCCGCGAGGGUGAGCGAAUCCCACAAAGCCGGCCUCAGUUCGGAUUGGAGU
rnacentral:rRNA from 1 species